UACGGAGGGUGCGAGCGUUAAUCGGAAUUACUGGGCGUAAAGCGCACGCAGGCGGGCAUUUAAGCCAGAUGUGAAAGCCCCGAGCUUAACCUGGGAAUUGCAUUUGAAACUGGUUGGCUAGAGUAUUGUAGAGGGGGGUAGAAUUCCAGGUGUAGCGGUGAAAUGCGUAGAGAUGUGGAGGAAUACCGAUGGCGAAGGCAGCCCCCUGGGCGAAGACUGACGCUCAGGUGCGAAAGCGUGGGGAGCAAACAGG
rnacentral:rRNA from 1 species